rnacentral:misc_RNA from 1 species
AGCAGCCGCGGUAAUUCCAGCUCCAAUAGCGUAUAUUAAAGUUGUUGCAGUUAAAAGCUCGUAGUUGAAUUUCGGAAUCAAUGGAUCGGUCAUGCCACUCGGUGUGUACUGGUUUGAUUGGUUCUCUCCUUCUAAGGAACCGUGAUGUCAUUAAUUUGGUGUCGCGGGGAAUUAGGACUGUUACCUUGAAAAAUUGAGUGUUUAAAGCAAGCUCACGCUUGAAUACAUUAGCAUGGAAUAAUGAAAUAGGACAUUGUAUUCUAUUUUGUUGGUUUCUAGGAUCGAUGUAAUGAUUAAUAGGGAUAGUUGGGGGCAUUAGUAUUCAAUUGUCAGAGGUGAAAUUCUUGGAUUUAUUGAAGACUAACUACUGCGAAAGCAUUUGCCAAGGAUGUUUUCAUUAAUCAAGAACGAAAGUUAGGGAUCGAAGACGAUCAGAUACCGUCGUAGUCUUAACCAUAAACUAUGCCGACUAGGGAUCGGAUGAUGUUAAUUUUUAAUGACUCAUUCC